CGUAAACGAUGAGUGCUAAGUGUUAGGGGGUUUCCCCCUUUAGUGCUGCAGCUAACGCAUUAAGCACUCCGCUGGGGAGUACGACCGCAAGGUUGAAACUCAAAGGAAUUGACGGGGGCCCGCACAAGCGGUGGAGCAUGUGGUUUAAUUCGAAGCAACGCGAAGAGCCUUACCAGGUCUUGACAUCCUUUGACAACUCUAGAGAUAGAGCUUUCCCUUCGGGGACAAAGUGACAGGUGGUGCAUGGUUGUCGUCAGCUCGUGUCGUGAGAUGUUGGGUUAAGUCCCGCAACGAGCGCAACCCUUAUUGUUAGUUGCCAUCAUUCAGUUGGGCACUCUAGCGAAACUGCCGGUGACAAACCGGAGGAAGGUGGGGAUGACGUCAAAUCAUCAUGCCCCUUAUGACCUGGGCUACACACGUGCUACAAUGGACAGUACAAUGAGCAGCGACACGGCGACGUGAAGCGAAUCUCAUAAAGCUGUUCUCAGUUCGGAUUGUAGGCUGCAACUCGCCUACAUGAAGCCGGAAUCGCUAGUAAUCGCGGAUCAGCACGCCGCGGUGAAUACGUUCCCGGGCCUUGUACACACCGCCCGUCACACCACGAAAGUUUGUAACACCCAAAGUCGGUGAGGUAACCUUCGGGAGCCAGCCGCCUAAGGUGGGAUAGAUGAUUGGGGUGAAGUCGUAACAAGGUAACCA
rnacentral:rRNA from 1 species